GACGAACGCUGGCGGCGUGCUUAACACAUGCAAGUCGAACGGAAAGGCCCUGCUUUUGUGGGGUGCUCGAGUGGCGAACGGGUGAGUAACACGUGAGUAACCUGCCCUUGACUUUGGGAUAACUUCAGGAAACUGGGGCUAAUACCGGAUAGGAGCUCCUGCUGCAUGGUGGGGGUUGGAAAGUUUCGGCGGUUGGGGAUGGACUCGCGGCUUAUCAGCUUGUUGGUGGGGUAGUGGCUGACCAAGGCUUUGACGGGUAGGCGGCCUGAGAGGGUGACCGGCCACAUUGGGCCUGAGAUACGGCCCAGACUCCUACGGGAGGCAGCAGUGGGGAAUAUUGCACAAUGGGCGGAAGCCUGAUGCAGCAGCGCCGCGUGCGGGAUGACGGCCUUCGGGUUGUAAACCGCUUUCGCCUGUGACGAAGCGUGAGUGACGGUAAUGGGUAAAGAAGCACCGGCUAACUACGUG
rnacentral:rRNA from 1 species